AGUUUGAUCCUGGCUCAGAUUGAACGCUGGCGGCAGGCCUAACACAUGCAAGUCGAGCGGAUGACGGGAGCUUGCUCCUGGAUUCAGCGGCGGACGGGUGAGUAAUGCCUAGGAAUCUGCCUGGUAGUGGGGGACAACGUUUCGAAAGGAACGCUAAUACCGCAUACGUCCUACGGGAGAAAGCAGGGGACCUUCGGGCCUUGCGCUAUCAGAUGAGCCUAGGUCGGAUUAGCUUGUUGGUGAGGUAAUGGCUCACCAAGGCGACGAUCCGUAACUGGUCUGAGAGGAUGAUCAGUCACACUGGAACUGAGACACGGUCCAGACUCCUACGGGAGGCAGCAGUGGGGAAUAUUGGACAAUGGGCGAAAGCCUGAUCCAGCCAUGCCGCGUGUGUGAAGAAGGUCUUCGGAUUGUAAAGCACUUUAAGUUGGGAGGAAGGGUUGUAGAUUAAUACUCUGCAAUUUUGACGUUACCGACAGAAUAAGCACCGGCUAA
rnacentral:rRNA from 1 species